rnacentral:rRNA from 1 species
GACGAACGCUGGCGGCGUGCUUAACACAUGCAAGUCGAGCGGGUAAGGCCCUUCGGGGUACACGAGCGGCGAACGGGUGAGUAACACGUGGGUGACCUGCCUCUAGCUCUGGGAUAAGCCUGGGAAACUGGGUCUAAUACCGGAUAUGACUCCACGGCGCAUGUUGUGGGGUGGAAAGCCUUGUGUGGCUAGAGAUGGGCCCGCGGCCUAUCAGCUUGUUGGUGGGGUGAUGGCCUACCAAGGCGACGACGGGUAGCCGGCCUGAGAGGGCGACCGGCCACACUGGGACUGAGACACGGCCCAGACUCCUACGGGAGGCAGCAGUGGGGAAUCUUGCGCAAUGGGCGAAAGCCUGACGCAGCGACGCCGCGUGAGGGAUGACGGCCU